AUUGAACGCUAGCGGGAUGCCUUACACAUGCAAGUCGAACGGAGUGUCGAACGGGUGAGUAAUGUAUCGGCACGUGCCCAGUAGCGGGGGAUAACUACGCGAAAGCGUACCUAAUACCGCAUACUAUUGGAGCGGCCGAUAUAGGAUUAGCUAGUUGGUGGGGUACCGGCUAACCAAGGCGACGAGCCGUAGCUGAGUUGAGAGGAGGACCAGCCAAACGGGGACUGAGACACGGCCCAGACUCCUACGGGAGGCAGAAGUGGGGAAUUUUGGACAAUGGGGGAAACCCUGAACCAGCCAGCCCGCGUGUGCGAUGAAGGCCUUCGGGUUGUAAAGCACUUUUGUCAGGAAAGCGGUACCUGCAGAAUAAGCACCGGCUAACUACGUGCCAGCAGCCGCGGUAAUUC
rnacentral:rRNA from 1 species